GCGAUAGAGACAGUGAAUGAGAGGACAUCUGACAGAAACAAGUUUGACUAGUAAAAUAAAUGACAGUAUAAGUGUCAUUAUACUCUGAGACGUGAUCUUGUAACGGUGAUAGAUGUGUCCGAGAACCUGUGCACCAGGAGUCAUUGACUUUUGGAACUGCAUUGGCGAGGUUUUUGAGAUUUCCUGGAAAACCAUCUAGAGCUGGAUUUGGAUUCUCCUUGACGAAGGAGAUGGCGAGCUACCCUUAAACCGGAUCACCUGCCCCUCAAAGGAGCUGUGUCCAGAACAUUGUUGCCCAAGGACGAGCCAUCCCACUCUCCUAUUCCAUGUUCACACCAGUGUGAGGUGGCUACCGGUUGAAGAGCUUUUGGGAGCUCCCCAGGACAGAAGCAGAGUUCCUUAAACAGGGUUUGGUGUCAAAUGACUUUUGUGUUAUUCAGGUCAGCCUGCUUCGGCCAGCUGUAAUUCUGAAAGGGCAAGGCAUUUUAAUGUUUUCAUUAUAUGUUUAUUUAAUGUGUAACUUAAGCCACGGCUGCAGCUCUGACCCCCUACUCUGUGGCUGCUACUGGAGUUCUGCUUCACUUUCCGCUUUACCUUGUACCUUUACAACACUUGCAUGCACACAUUUUCCACUCAUGCACUACACCCACUACUGACCCCAACACGCAAUACAGUUAAAUUUGAAUUUGGGCACUUUAAAUUUGGUUUCAUUCCUUUAAAUAAAUAUAUUUUUGUAAAAACCAAGAUCCUGGUGACUUCCUCUCUAAUGGCCAAUCGAGCUAGGUUGUAACAAUGUCAACUAUUUUAACUUUUACAGCUGUGAAGAGAUUUUAAAAAAGCACAAUUUUCAGAGACAUAAGGGUCAUG